CUUUUGCUUGACCUCAGCUCCUUUCAGAAAGCAUCUCUGCUUUAACUAAUGGCGACACCCACCCCCUAGAACAGAGGAAUGGAGGCGGUGACGUCCUGCGGUCAGUCCAGGCUGGCGGUGCGCUCCCGCCGCGGUCCCCCGCCCCCCAGCCUCCCCGGCGUCCGUUCAGCAGUUCGGAUCCCCAGGCGACGGGGCCGGCGCUCAGACUCGCCCGGAGCAGGAGGCGGGGCGGCCGUGUGGCCCCGCCGCGCUGGCCCCUGGCGCCCUGCCGCUCCUCUGGGCUCCUCUUGCGGCAUCCAGAUCCCGCCCCUUCCCUGCCUCCUGGCCGGGCAGCUGGGGUCUGUUCGCCCUUCUCUGCUGUGUGAAACCCCUGCCCCAGCUCCAUACGAGCGACCUGAGACCUUGGUCUAGUCUUCGUAAGCUUUUUUUUUUUUUGAGUCUUCGUAAACUUCUUAGCCAUAAAGCCAGCAGUGUGCCUGGUCUUCAGUCCCUACCGGUCCUCUCCUCCCGUGUGGACUGUGCCUCCAUUCGAGCACCUGCCCCACAUCAACAUGGUGCAGCGUUUGGCGAUUGCCGUGUCUGACUCUGUCCACUCCCCACCCCUAGGCUGUCAGCUCCCCAAAGGUACACCAAAAAGUCACUCUUUGGCUGAUGACUCCUGCAAGUACCCUGUGACCAUUGCAGGAGACAUCUGGGGCCCUUCUGCAGGUGGAGAGACUGAGGCCCAGAGAGGUUGAACCACCAGAGGCAAGGCCACUUGGCUAAUGAGAAGUGGCUCUGAAAUUCCAAAGCUCUUGCUCUUAAACACCAUGCUGACCUGGAGGAUGUGCUGGAAAAUUUUUAACCACUGUGUGAAACUAAGAAGCACAACUGUUUUUUAUGCUUUCUGCCGAGGGAUUCCUAGGACCUAUCAGCCUCUGCUUUCCUCACCUGGUCCACGCUGGUCCUGCGAGCCUUUGGACUCAGACCAUCUCUCCUUUCCUCUCUCCAGGCAUUUUCCAGAUGUCCCUCCUCUCCUCUAACGCAGAGACAACCUGUCUGUCAAAGCCUCUCAGAUCUGGCCAAAAUCAUCUGAAAGAGUUUAGCAGGCAGGCAGGAAAGCCAGCCUGAAAUUGAGUUAGCCAGGAUUCGCCCCAGGCCCUCAUAUCAACUGUGCAACAGAACCACUGCCUGGUGCAGAAAACACCCUUCUGGAGCUAGUCUUUUGUCACUGGCUUGUCCUCAUUUGCAGCGGGAAGUAACGCUGUCAUGAGACUCGGUCUCUUACAGUUCUGCCUUGGAAGCAAGGAGGGCACAUUGAGCCCCUCCCCAGCCAGAGGCUGUCUCAAAGCCCCUGCAGCUGUGCUCCCAGCCAAGUGCUCUCACAGCCGCAUGGUGAACUGUGCUCUGCAGUCUGACUGCCUAGAUGCGGUCCUCCACCCUGUGCCUUCCAGGGUCUCCCCCUGGCCUCUGUGUAAAAUUAGGCUAAUAAUUGUGAGAUUCAACUCCACAGAGCUGUCAUGAUAAUACAUGAUUGAGCACAUGUAAAGCUUUUGGCACAUAGUGAGUGUUACAAAGCGGGUUGCUGUCGUCAUCAUCACCAUCAGUACUUGGUUUCCUACCUUCACUUUUAAAAAACCAAAACCAAGUAUCAUACAUCAUAUUAUUUAUUUAAUACUUUAUUUAAACAAACUUUAAAUAAACUUGCUUUUAAAACAUAGCCUCCUUCUAAGCAAGUUUCCUUGAAAUCACAGUUUUGAUGGCGUUAGUUGUAUUUUUAAAGGCUCUGUGCAACAGUGGCAUGCCUGUUGAAGUCAAUAUGUCUUACUUCAGGUGUUUAGUAGCACUAAUUCAGCUUGUGCAUAACCAAGGGUCCUCUGCCCUGGCUUUGAGGAACACUGCUGCAGCAAGUGCUAGUACCUGUCUCAGUUUUACCAUCUGUAAAAUAGGUGCAGUGUGAUGAUGACACUGCUUCCUGGGACUGCUGUCCUAUUCAGUGGUAUGUUCGUUGUGACCAUGCUUUGUAAAAUGUAACGCACUAACCAAGUUGCUAUCAUAUAGUUCUCCUGUCCCCACCCCAUUCCAGUUAGUGAGUCACCCCAGGUUUGCAAAAGGAGCUGCUGAUGGUAAAGGUCCCCAACCCCCAUGCCCCCUCUCCUUGGAAUUUGUUGGAAUAUGCUGUCAGUCGAGGUAUAUUUUUUUCUCAUGUGUUUUUGCUCCUUGGGCUAGAACAGCCCCCUAGACCUAUUUUAAUCCUUCAUCUCUCAUUCAACAUCCCUCCUUUGUAUCUUGACUCCACUGAGGGUGUCAGGCCCCAUUGCUAUACUAAGGAGAUGAUAGCUCCAGUCCGUGCCCUUCCGGCUACUCUUGAGCCUGCCCCAGGGUUCAAGAAGCAGAAUUUCCAGGAGUUUUUUAUCCACCGGCCAUGGGCUCUCAUCCUGCUUGCCUGUCCACUGAACUCACAAAACUGGAAACACCUAUUUUUUGAACCUGACCAGCAGAUUCUGCUGCUCCAAUUCUGCCUGUUCCUACUACGUGAUGACUCAUUAGGCAUUCCCUCUGACCAGAGCCUCUUCCCUCCCUCCAUCUGGGCCAACAGGGGUAACUUCAGCUCCAAGUAGAGAAGACUGAGGCCUUGGGGCAGGGGGGUGGGGGUACGGUUUUGCUGUGGGCAGAGGAGAGGUUGGGAGUAAAUUCCAGGGCUAAUGCCUGGGAUGCUUUGCAUUUCUCUGACCCUGCCCAGCCCAGCCAGUACCCAGGGCUUCACAAAUGUCCAUUUAGAAAGCUCCACCCUGCUUGUAUGGGAGGUCUUAGUGAUUAGCUGGCUCCCGUCAGACCCAGAUAAAGCUAAGGAGGUUGGGAACCAAGUUUACUUCUUUUAAAUUAAUGUGUUUAAUGGAGGUACUGGGGAUUGAACCCAGGACCUUGUGCAUGCUGAGCAUGUACUCUACUGCUGAGCUCUCCCCAGCACUAACUUAAAAAAAA